GACGAACGCUGGCGGCGUGCUUAACACAUGCAAGUCGAACGGAAAGGCCCUGCUUUUGUGGGGUGCUCGAGUGGCGAACGGGUGAGUAACACGUGAGUAACCUGCCCUUGACUUUGGGAUAACUUCAGGAAACUGGGGCUAAUACCGGAUAGGAGCUCCUGCUGCAUGGUGGGGGUUGGACAGUUUCGGCGGUUGGGUAUGGACUCGCGGCUUAUCAGCUUGUUGGUGGGGUAGUGGCUUACCAAGGCUUUGAAGGGUAGCCGGCCUGAGAGGGUGACCGGCCACAUUGGGACUGAGAUACGGCCCAGACUCCUACGGGAUGCAGCAGUGGGGAAUAGUGCACAAUGGGCGGAAGCCUGAUGCAGCAACGCCGCGUGCGGGAUGACGGCCUUCGGGUUGUAAACCGCUUUCGCCUGUGACGAAGCGUGAGUGACGGUAAUGGGUAAAGAAGCACCGGCUAACUACGUG
rnacentral:rRNA from 1 species